GCUCCAAUAGCGUAUACUAAAGUUGUUGCAGUUAAAAAGCUCGUAGUUGGAUUUCUGGCGGGGACGGCUGGUCGGUCUCGAAAGGGCUGUACUGUUGUUGGUUCCGUCAUCCUUGGGGAGAGCGGCUCUUACAUUAAGUUGUCGCGCGGAUCCUAUCUUACUGUGAAAAAAUUAGAGUGUUCAAAGCAGGCUUAGGCCUG
rnacentral:rRNA from 1 species